GCGGCAGCGUAAUGAACAUGAGGUGUGGAGGAAGGUAGUGCUCAGUCGGCUGCCAGCACCCAGUGAGGCAAGACGCGCCCCGCUCUACUCCUCGGUCACAUACACAUAUCCUAACAGACACAUUUCUGUCUUCAAGAUAUAGUACAUCAAACUGCUCAUCUGUGACCUGGCAACUUUAUACUGGGAAUGCAAGUGGGCAUCUUUCCAACCUGUAGUGUUGCAUCUUCAGUGUGGUGGUUGUGCUGAAGUGACACAGGCGCUGCGAUGACGAAACUCCAGCAGGCAGAGAUGGCGAGUAUCCAGCAAGUUAGAGACGCUGUGGACGGCAACAACAACAACAACAACAACAGCGAAGGGAGUGAUCAAAAUUCCCUGUCAUCAGGAGGAUGCGGAGGAAAAUACUUACUUCGCCCUCGCUCUGUUCGAGCGUUGCGUCGGUGCGACAGUGAGUGGAGCUUACAAGAUAACAGAAGACAGAAAUCCCGUCCUGCGCCGCUGUCAAAGUACCGUAGAAAAACAGCCAACACACGUGAAAGGUAUCGAAUGAGGCAGAUCAACACAGCCUUUGAGAAGCUCAGGAAAAUCCUCCCUGCUUGCGGCAACCCUCGCGGCAACACCUCUGAAAUGACCAAGAUCACCACCCUCAAGUAUGCAUGUGCCUACAUCAGGUCACUUCAGGACGUCCUGGACGACACAGUGAACCAACACCGACUAGAAGGAGGAAGCCCGGGCCAGGACUCCUGUCCAUGGAUGUUUUCUGGAGUACUGCAGGACGCCCAGUUGCUUCAGGGCCCCGCGGGAAGCACCUGCCACGCCUCUCAAGGAAAGACUCAGCUUCUGGGAUCUCAGAACGACCCUGAAACGGAUCUGAUGUCACUGUUGUGUGACUCGACUGAUUCAGGAAUAUUUGAUGACGGUCUGGGGUCAUACCUGUCACCGCUAAACGAGACGGACGAGGUGACAUUGCUACUCCUCGGUAGUGACGCGCCCUCCUGGCACGAUCAGACACACCAACAAUUUGCUGUCUGCUGAUAGUGACAGUUUAUCGUGUUUUUGGUGAAGAAAACCCCAGAUAGUGAUGGACCCACGAAUAACAGUCAACAUUUACGCAAGUGUCAGUGGUGGCGAGGUUUUAUGAAGAUGAGUGGAGUAUCAGUGCGAAGUGUUAAAGUACAAGAAACAUAAAUAUAUUAUAUGUUUUGGGGAAAAAAAUCGGCUUUUUUAGGUUCAUAAAUACAGUACGAAUCGAUAAACUGACCAACCGGACAUGAGGUGUGACAGGAUGCAAGUGACAGGAAUGGUAUCAUGUUUUCUGAAGUAAAUGUUUUCUACAAUAUAAGAAAUGACAAAGUGUCCUUGAAGCAUAACAAACAGGAUUGUGCAAGAACUGUGUGUCGCCUACAGUCGUGAACCUUAGUGUGGACUGACCCUGGCCACAGAGAGGUCUGAGAGGCGCUACUCAAAUCUAGUCAGAACGUGGGUGCCAUACACAUGAGGAGCCGCGUGGUCGGCGGGAGUGUGGUGGUCAGGGCGAUGGUUGUUGCACCGGCACGGAGAGUUCACCGUCACGCCAGUGUUGUAGGUCCUGUGUCUUAUUUUAUAAUUGCUGAUAAUUUUCUAUGGGUUUUACUAGAUAAAUAAAAUGAACUUUUCUACCUU
rnacentral:misc_RNA from 1 species